rnacentral:rRNA from 1 species
GCGGACGGGUGAGUAACACGUGGAUAACCUACCUAUAAGACUGGGAUAACUUCGGGAAACCGGAGCUAAUACCGGAUAAUAUAUUGAACCGCAUGGUUCAAUAGUGAAAGACGGUUUUGCUGUCACUUAUAGAUGGAUCCGCGCCGCAUUAGCUAGUUGGUAAGGUAACGGCUUACCAAGGCAACGAUGCGUAGCCGACCUGAGAGGGUGAUCGGCCACACUGGAACUGAGACACGGUCCAG